CCCGUUUGUAGAUCAUAUAUAUGUACUAAACCAUCCUGACCACCUGUGCCAAGAUGUCGGCCAAAAGGCUCAAUAUCAAACAAAAUCCGUUGGUUGGUUUGUUCUGAGGAUCUGUAUAACUUGUACACAACUUCAACAGUUUUCCGCAUAUCCCAGCACAGUAUAUAUGGAUCCUUCCGUGCUCCAGUAUAAAGAUAGUUUCCAUCUUUUGAGAAUUGGACAUGUGUAAUCCCACCUUCUUGACCAUGCAAAACAUACAAGAGUUCCAUAUUGUCCUCCCUGAAGAUUGCAGCAGUUUGGCUGUAAGAACCAGUAGCUAGCAUUCCACUAUGAGUUGGACAAA
rnacentral:misc_RNA from 1 species